rnacentral:rRNA from 1 species
GAUGAACGCUGGCGGCGUGCCUAAUACAUGCAAGUCGAGCGAACAGACGAGGAGCUUGCUCCUCUGACGUUAGCGGCGGACGGGUGAGUAACACGUGGAUAACCUACCUAUAAGACUGGGAUAACUUCGGGAAACCGGAGCUAAUACCGGAUAACAUGUUGAACCGCAUGGUUCAACAGUGAAAGACGGUCUUGCUGUCACUUAUAGAUGGAUCCGCGCCGCAUUAGCUAGUUGGUAAGGUAACGGCUUACCAAGGCAACGAUGCGUAGCCGACCUGAGAGGGUGGUCGGCGACCCGGGAACUGAGACGCGGUCCAGACUACUACGGGAGGCAGCAGUAGGGAAUCUUCCGCAAUAGGCGAAAGCCUGACGGAGCAACGCCGCGUGAGUGAAGAAGGUCUUCGGAUCGUAAAACUCUGUUAUUAGGGAAGAACAAAUGUGUAAGUAACUAUGCACGUCCUGACGGUACCUAAUCAGAAAGCCACGGCUAACUACGUG